CCUACGGGAGGCAGCAGUGGGGAAUCUUAGACAAUGGGCGCAAGCCUGAUCUAGCCAUGCCGCGUGAGUGAUGAAGGCCCUAGGGUCGUAAAGCUCUUUCAACUGUGAAGAUAAUGACGGUAGCAGUAGAAGAAACCCCGGCUAACUCCGUGCCAGCAGCCGCGGUAAUACGGAGGGGGUUAGCGUUGUUCGGAAUUACUGGGCGUAAAGCGUACGUAGGCGGAUUAAUAAGUUAGAGGUGAAAUCCCAGGGCUCAACCCUGGAACUGCCUUUAAAACUGUUAGUCUUGAGUUCGAGAGAGGUGAGUGGAAUUCCAAGUGUAGAGGUGAAAUUCGUAGAUAUUUGGAGGAACACCAGUGGCGAAGGCGGCUCACUGGCUCGAUACUGACGCUGAGGUACGAAAGUGUGGGGAGCAAACAGGAUUAGAUACCCUGGUAGA
rnacentral:rRNA from 1 species